AGCAUGGCUUGAGACGAUGACUGGAGUCUAUGGCUAGUGGAACCAUUUUGCAGUAAUUUAGAAUGUGCAGGAGAAAGUGGUACACUUCAUUUCAAUCGCAUCUUUCGACAAGCGAAAAUCCAUGGUCUACCUGGAAUAAGUUUAUUUGGCGCCAAGACAACCUUUUUCCAAGGUCAAAGAUCAAAGACCAGAACUGAUGUCAGUUGGAAAGACACCACAUUGGGUCAAAGAUCAAAGGCCAGAAUUGGUGUCAGCUGGAAAGAUACCACAUUGUGUAUUGGAUUUGCAAGAUAUUUAAUCAAUGCACCAGUUUCAAGUUCAAAGGAUUGAUGUGGAAGCCUUGAUGUUUAGCUAUGCCAGUGGUUUCAUUUCCUGUGGAUAUUAUGUGGACAUUGAUGGCCAUUGGGUGCUUGAUGCAAUGCAAUAAUGACAUUUUGUAGACUGUAGAAUUCACUUGCAUAUUAAAACAAGAGAUUGCCUUGGAAGAAAAAUCUGAGUUUAGCUAGUUUUAAUUUUUCUAAAUCAAUAUAUUUUUGUCAAAAAUUUUAUGCUGAUGCAUAAUGCAUAAGUAUUUUUUAUUUUGACCUUGUUUGAACUAACUUUUCUCAAAUUUGUUAUAGUGUAGAUUCAAAGAAACUCUUUUAGAAUUGUCUUUUUUUCCUAUUUAAGCUAAAGCAAGCAUACAUUAUCAACUGUGUCCAUUUUUUACCUUGAUCUUUCAAGUGUCCUUUGAAUAUAAGUGUAUUAUCUACUGUAUAUUAAACUGUUUAUUGAAUCUUUUCAAAAUAUUUUUGUCAUCUUCAUAUACUAGUCAAAUACAAAUUUUUCUUAUUGCAUUAAUAGUUAAAUUUCAUAUGCUGUGCCCGUCCUUA